AGUGAACGCUGGCGGUAGGCCUAACACAUGCAAGUCGAACGGCAGCACAGGAGAGCUUGCUCUCUGGGUGGCGAGUGGCGGACGGGUGAGGAAUACAUCGGAAUCUGCCCAGUCGUGGGGGAUAACGUAGGGAAACUUACGCUAAUACCGCAUACGACCUUCGGGGGAAAGAGGGGGAUCGCAAGACCUCUCGCGAUUGGAUGAGCCGAUGUCGGAUUAGCUAGUUGGCGGGGUAACGGCCCACCAAGGCGACGAUCCGUAGCUGGUCUGAGAGGAUGAUCAGCCACACUGGAACUGAGACACGGUCCAGACUCCUACGGGAGGCAGCAGUGGGGAAUAUUGGACAAUGGGCGCAAGCCUGAUCCAGCCAUACCGCGUGGGUGAAGAAGGCCUUCGGGUUGUAAAGCCCUUUUGUUGGGAAAGAAAUCUUUCAGGCUAAUACCCUGGGAGGAUGACGGUACCCAAAGAAUAAGCACCGGCUAACUUCGUG
rnacentral:rRNA from 1 species